rnacentral:misc_RNA from 1 species
GUGAACCAAUUCUUACUGGUAAGUUUCAUUCAAAUCACUAUAAUAGAGCAAUGAAUCAAAACUAGCCGCUACAUUUUCCUUCUAAAAUUGUUAAGUUUAGCAAGUCUGCCAAAUAAAGAAAGCAAACCCACUGCUUACCAAAAACACAAAAGUACACAAUCCAAAGGUAUCAAGAGGCAAACCAAUGGAAAAAGGGAUGACUUUUACACUUAAUAUUGCGACAGCAUGUGAGAGACAAUUUGUCAUCUGGUUUCCUCAACUACAAAAAAAUUGAGCAGGCCAAACAAAAACCUUGCCUUUAGAAGAAGGAACUUUAGCCUUCUAAUAUCAAAGGAAAGCAAGGAUGGCAGAA